AGUCUGGUGCCAGCAGCCGCGGUAAUUCCAGCUCCGCAAGUGUAUAUCUAUGUUGCUGCGGUUAAAAAGCUCGUAGUUGGAUCUGCGUGUUUAGCGUCCGGUUCGACUUUUGGUCGUUACUGGAACGCGACACAGAUGUGCUGGUUUGCCGUUGAUGCUCUUAAUCGGGUGUCAGUGGCGGCUAGCGAGUUUACUUUGAAAAAUUAGAGUGCUCAAAACAGGCGUUUCGCCUGAAUAUUUCUGCAUGGAAUAAUAGAAUAGGACUUCGAUUCUAUUCUGUUGGUUUUCGGAAUGCGAAGUAAUGAUUAAGAGGGACAGACGGGGGCAUUCGUACUGCGACGUUAGAGGUGAAAUUCUUGGAUCGUCGCAAGACGUACUACUGCGAAGGCAUUUGCCAAGAAUGUUUUCAUUAAUCAAGAACGAAAGUUAUGGGUUCGAAGGCGAUCAGAUACCGCCCUAGUCAUAACCGUAAACGAUUCAAACUGUCGCCCGACGGUGUUUUUAUUGACCCGUCGGGAACCCUCCCGGAAACGAAAGUGUUCGUGUUCCGGGGGAAAUAUGUCUGCAAAGAGGAAACUUAAAGGAAUUGACGGAAGGGCACCACCAGGGGUGGAGCCUGCGGCUUAAUUUGACCCAACACGGGGAAACUCACCCGGCCCGGACACCGUAAGGAUUGACAGAUUGAGAGCUCUUUCUUGAUUCGGUGGGUGGUGGUGCAUGGCCGUUCUUAGUUGGUGGAGUGAUUUGUCUGGUUUAUUCCGAUAACGAACGAGACUCUGGCCUGCUAACUAGUGUUCACAUCUUUACGUGUGCUUCGCUUCUUAGAGGGACAGGCGGCUUCCAGCCGCAUGAAGAAGAGCAAUAACAGGUCUGUGAUGCCCUUAGAUGUCCGGGGCUGCACGCGCGCUACACUGAAAGAAUCAGCGUGUACGUCACCUGGCUCGAAAGAGUCGGGUAAUCCGGUGAAAAUCUUUCGUGAUUGGGAUCGGGACUUGCAAUUAUUUCCCUUGAACGAGGAAUCCCUAGUAAGUGCGGGUCAUCAGCUCGCGCUGAUUACGUCCCUGCCCUUUGUACACACCGCCCGUCGCUGCCCGGAACUGAGCCGUUUCGAGAAAAUGGGGACUGUCUACUUGAGGUCUUCACGGACUUUUUGUAAAUGGAAACCGCUUUAAUCGCAGCGGCUUGAACCGGGCAAAAGUCGUAACAAGGUUUCCGUAGGUGAACCUGCGGAAG
rnacentral:rRNA from 1 species